GUUAUUGCCAAAUUGCUUUCAUUAUAAUUUCAACCUGUGUUAUACUAGCAACUUACUCCACGGAGUCUUCCUGGGCAGAUGCCACAAGCUGACUUGGGGGCUUUGCCAACCUUCUUGGUGUAGAGGUACACAAUGCGGUUACCAGGCGUCCGGGACCUGCAAGAAACCAAUGGGGAAAUGUCACACACUGUUGCGUGCUGCAGACUCCAAUCGUUCUCCGAGCCGCCAUACCUGCUGUCGCCGCGACCGGAAGAGGAAGAGCGAAGACUGAAGGGGAAUGUUUAAGCGACCAGGCGAUGCCAGGAUGACAUCAGAGCGGAAUGAAAUAUUUUUCCAGUGGAGCUCCGCCCCUUCCCUUUUUUUCCCUUCCUGUUUUGUCAUCCAAGCUGGUGCAUAUUUCGACCCCGUCUGUCCUACUUGCACCAGUGGGGCAGAUGACAUCAGGAUUAACCUUUUGAUGUAUCCUGUCUCAGAGCCAUUUUCCCUCGCACAUAAGAUUGUGGUAGCCCCUCCCUUCACACGGGCAUGAAAUAUUGAAUGUCCAUUUUCAGGGAGUCAGAGGUCAUAAAGACGUGGCAGUGUCUUCUUUGAUGUGAACUGAAGGAUGGAGAAACCAGGUGGAUACUUUUGCUGUUUUUGUCCUUUUAAAGACAGAUGGUCACAAGAUGCAUAUUCUCAGAAUUUAGUGGAGACUGUGGCACCCAAAUAAUGUUUGUUAGAGAGUGUUAAAGGUCCAAUAUUAGUAUUUUUCAAUCACUUUAAAGAAUUGUCAGAGA